UACGAAGGGGGCUAGCGUUGCUCGGAAUCACUGGGCGUAAAGGGUGCGUAGGCGGGUCUUUAAGUCAGGGGUGAAAUCCUGGAGCUCAACUCCAGAACUGCCUUUGAUACUGAAGAUCUUGAGUUCGGGAGAGGUUAGUGGAAUUCCCAGUGUAGCGGUGAAAUGCGUAGAUAUUGGGAGGAACACCAGUGGCGAAGGCGGCUCACUGGACCGGAACUGACGCUGAGGCGCGAAAGCGUGGGGAGCGAACAGG
rnacentral:rRNA from 1 species